rnacentral:rRNA from 1 species
UACAGAGGGUGCAAGCGUUAAUCGGAAUUACUGGGCGUAAAGCGUGCGUAGACGGUUGCGUAAGUCAGAUGUGAAAGCCCCGGGCUCAACCUGGGGAAUUGCAUUUGAGACUGCGUAGCUAGGGUGCGGAAGAGGGAAGCGGAAUUUCCGGUGUAGCGGUGAAAUGCGUAGAUAUCUGGAGGAACACCGGUGGCGAAGGCGGCAUCCUGGACCAACACUGACGCUGAGGAGCGAAAGCCAGGGGAGCAAACGGG